ACAUUCAGUGUGGCUUCGGCCGUGGAAAAGGAAGGAUCUUUGCAAGUACUCUCUCUGCAGCACGAUGAAGGUGUUAGCGGCAGUGGUGGUGGUGGUAGUGGGGGUGAUGGUGGCGAGGGGAGGGGGGCAGAAAGGGGGUCCGUUCCCCCCACACGUGCCCUCCCCUCCUACACCCCCGGACGGACCCCACCUCCCCCUCCCCCACCCCCAUAUAUUAGACAGAGAGGCGGGGCAGGAUAAGGAAGACCGCGAGGCUUUGGUGAGGACAAGUAAAAUUCUACCUUUCUUUAAUCCUGUCAGCGCUUUCCCCCCACCAGCGUCCGGCCCCCCCUAUCAAGACCACAUUCCUCACUGCGCCGGCCCGGGGAAUUACUGUGUAUUCGAUCGUAACUACCCUAUGGACAAGGUGAACGCAAUUGUUGACCGUUUCUACAAUGAUGUGCAAAUUCUCUACGAUGAUCUGUACCAUGUGCCAGCUCGGGAUCUUCUCUACUAUGACAACACUACCAAAGCAUCGGCGAGGCGCGGCGGCCACUUUGUGUGUGAGAGCGCCGUGGACUACAUAAGGCCGGGGUGGGCGCAGAAUCUGAGGGGGAGUGGGUGGCCAUCUUGAAUACUGACAGAUUUCCACAAACGGUUAAAAUUGAAACAUGCAGGUACGGUAACAAGAGAUGCGAGUACCUGCCACCUUGCUACAAAUCGAGGUGCAUACAGCGGUACAGCUACACACGGCUGCUUAGUCUGAACCCACACCUUCCCUCGCACCGCCCUGCCAUUGAUGUGUUUCAGAUUC